rnacentral:misc_RNA from 1 species
AAGUCGUAACAAGGUUUCCGUAGGUGAACCUGCGGAAGGAUCAUUAACACGUUCUAUACGUAUUAUCAACCAACAGCGAACUGUAGCUCCCUAGUUAAUUAAGUAUCGUCAUUUUAUGAGUAGUCUGGUUUUGGUGAGGUCGGCAUCCACGCAAGUGGACAGCUUAAGCCAUCGUUUGUUUACAAAUGAAGGUCAGACACACUGGGCGAAAGUAAGUCGAUUCUCGGUUUCGAUCGAGGAUACGGGCGGUGAAUUAUUCUCUAGGCUUACCCCUUCUCACAACUUUCCAACCUCCUUGGAGGGAAGUGAGAAUACCAUAACUGUAUUCACUCUAUUUUACCUAUUUGACUAAUAAUGAAGUCAUUGGAUAACUCCUUUGACUGACUAAGAUUAAAUCUUAACUAAGCACAACUCUUAGCAAUGGAUAUCUUGGUUCUC